UCCAUUUAGCUCCAGCUGUCCAACUUGUCCAGUCGCAUCAGGUCCAGCAAUACACGCAAAUUCGCAAAUGGCUUCGAGCGUCGCCUCUCGCAUCAUAUUUGUAACCGGCAACAAAGACAAGCUGCGAGAAGUAGUCGCUAUAUUGGGCAAGAUACCUGGUUUCGAAUUGGAUAACCGUGCAGUGGAGCUGGUGGAGCCCCAGGGUGAAAGCGACGCCGUCUGUCGGACCAAAUGUGAGGCUGCUGCACGCCUAGUGGGUGGCCCGGUGCUGGUAGAGGAUACAUCACUGUGCUUCAAUGCCCUGGGCGGCCUACCCGGACCCUACGUCAAGUGGUUCCUCGGCAAGAUCGGCUCUGAGGGACUCCAUCGCAUGCUGGCGGGCUUCGAGGACAAACAUGCAGAGGCGGUGUGCACGCUGGGCUUCAGCCCGGGUCCCGAGAAGCCGGUGCACUUGUUCCACGGCCGCACGCAGGGCACCAUAGUGGCACCCCGGGGCAGCAACAACUUUGGCUGGGACACGUGCUUCCAGCCCGAGGGGCACAGCCGCACCUACGCCGAGAUGAGCACGGCUGAGAAGAACGCCAUCUCGCACCGGCACAGGGCGGUGGAGGCGCUGCGCCAGUUCCUGCUCUCGCCGGACGCUGCCCGCGAGUGCGGCGGCAGCUUUUAACAUUUUCUAUGUCGGCCCUCUCAUCCUGGUGGCAGCAGUGCGUGCCUGACUUAGUGUAGUCGUUUAACGUGUCACAAGUCUGGUUCGACACGAGACCUACAAGGCGCCGACGCCAACCAUUGGCCGACUCUUCAUGACAGUGUAUCGCUGGGACCAUUUUAUGCCAGGCAGGCAACGACGCAACCAACACGUAUAUGCACUAUUUGCCUCUACGUCAAACGGGAAACAAGAGAUGGUGCAUUUGGUACAGCAACAGAAAGAACCUCCUCGCUCAGUUACCAAUGGUGUCAACAAUGGCAUACGUGUUCUUAUGUCCUUGUGAAAAGAGCGACCAAACCUGCCCUUUUUCGUGUUCACAAAUCCAACACACACCUGGGACGAUAUCUUCACUUUAAUUCGAAUCACCCUACCUGCCACAAGUUUUCUUUGUUCUGAAGGCUUCUCUAGAGAGCUGAAAGAAUUUGCUUGUCUCCGCACUUCCAGGAGGAAGAAAAGAACACAAUAAUCAAUCUGUGACCUUGGAAUGAAUGGUUAUACAGUGUUAUUUGUUCAACCCACCCUCUGCCGACGGAAUGAGAAUGAAAGACUGCGGCUGCUGCACCACCCAGGCAAUGGCAUCGUGUCUCGAUGCCAUACAUUCGAGGCGUCACUGAGACAUCAGCACAUGUGCUACGAGGGGCAGGGGUUGACAUCGCUCACAAGCAACUCUCUACAGUCGGUAGCCUCGUCCAAAAGACCAUGUUCCUGUUGAAAAUGCACAGGGCAUUGUGUACAAGAUUACCUGCACUAAAUGCCCCGCAUGAUAUAUUGGUGAGCCCAAAAGCUUCCUGGGAAGAAUUCAACACAAGAAUGCCCUUCACCACCUAAACUGAGAACGAAAUGCUGUGGCAGAACAUUGCGAGCCUUUUGAUCACCAGAUUAGCCCUAAUGGCACUGUCAUCUUAGAGAGAGAAAACAACCAACUGGCGGCGGCUUCUUGUGGAAACCCGGCACAUCCAGAAGACCCCAGGUAACAUCAGUCGUUUGUCAAGAACACUUCCCACCGUUUACUCUCGAGGUCUACCGAAAGUGGCUGCACUCCUGCUAAAGCGCCAAAAAUUUAUCUAAGCACUGCUACACUUUACACCAUUCCACCCCUGAAGGAGCCAGUCGGGCUUCGAAACUUCUGGUUUUUAAAAUAAAUAUUGGUUGGAGUUUUCCUUCUCUUUAAUUCAUUUGUCCCCAACCAGGCAGAUAUCUUCUAAACGUUUGCUUUCUAUUCAGUGUUUUGAGGCAAAACAUGAAUGGUGCAUUUCAGUCAAUAUUGUACCCAAGUAAGUCUCAGGUGGUACAGGAGUGGUGAAUUAGCAAAUCAUUGUUUAAAGCUACAGCUCAUGUGUGGUCGCAUAUUUUUUCAAAUGAAUCUUAAAUAUUUAGCACAGUGCUCGUCCUAUCUGUUUUUUUGUGCUGUGUCUUCAAUGUGUGCUUUUUCCCGCCUUUAGUGAGGUUGCUGACCCUGUUCCCACUCAGAUCGAAACUUCUUUCAAACGCAGCGAGAGCAUGGAAGUGAGUGCAAAGAAUUCAUGCCUGAGAAAGAAUGGGUGAGGAUGAAGAGCCUCUAUUCUCUGCAGCCCUUUAGGAAGUACGAGUCAGCAUCUGUUCAUGCCUUAAGGUGGCAGUCCCACUCUGGCGGCACGCGCUCCAAAUUUCAGUCAUUGUUUGCGGACGCACUGUACUUUCUGCGCUCAUUGAAUGGAUGGGAAUUAUAUUGCAUUAGAAAACUUACUUUCUGCACUUUACAAUGACACCUAGUAUUAUUGCAGAGCCUGAAGCAUUACGUGACAGCAAUCAAAGCAGUGUGAGUAAUGAACUGCAUUUUUGUGGUACUAGCCUCCAUUGUACUGCAUUCCCGGCGAAACUUUUCAACAUAACAAAAUGAAGUUUGCUGUGUCUUUAGAUGAAACGUUAUACAAGAUUUCUAUGAAGAGAUAUUGCAUGUAAAGCAACUAGAAAUUUAUAUGGGCCCUAAUAA